AGACGGAGGCCCGGCGGCUCCGGGCGCUCGGGAAGGGAUCGCUUCAGCUCCAUCUGCCGCACCAUCAACCCGGACAACUACGCGUUCCCAGGGCGAGUGCCCUACCCGUCCGCGCCGCUCUGCCCCUACUAGCACCCCGAACUUUGAGACACCGACACUGCACCCAUAAUAAUUCGACAGUGCUGCCAUCUGAAGACAACAGCGCAUAAACAAGCGUGAAUACUGUCUACUUCAAACGCGUCGGAAAGAGCCGCAGAAUGGUGACGCGUUUUUUCGCGGAUGUCCAAAGCAAAGACUUUAAUUAGAACAGUAAAUCUGCACAUUUGAAUAUUUUGAGCAAAUAAACUUUUCAGUGACAUGAGGCGCUGUUACUAUGGUUACCAUCGAAGAGGAGAGCUGCUCCGGCAUGGUAACGUGAUGCGGACGGGCAACAGCGACAGUGAUUUUUGUUUUGGAGAAAACUCCACGGAAAAAUAAAUGUAUAAGUUAAUAUCUUAGGUAAAAAGUGACUUUUGAAGCUGUUACAUGUUUACGUCUUUUCUCUCUGCAUUAUUAACGGACCGCAUCUUGUCAGGGCAGCGGCUACAUUCUUCACUUUUGAAAAGUGAUUUCUUUUUUAAAUGACAAGUUCUGAGAGCAGAAAUAUGUAAACACUGACGAGAUGGAAUAAAUGUCCUGUGCAAUCUUUA